UUACUUACCUGGAUGCGGUCAAUGGGCGAUCAAUAAGGCUCAUGGCCUAGGUCAGUGACCUCCAUUGCACUGAGGAGGGGCCCAUUGAUUGUUAACUAUAAGUUACUUUAGACUUUAGGGCUUUGUACAAAAUAUUUUUAUG
rnacentral:snRNA from 1 species